UAUGCGUCAAAUCACAUUGGAAAAUAAAAAUAAUUAAUUUCGGAAUAUUUUGACUUUUCAAACCAUUAUUAAUUUUGGAUAAAACUUCGAAAUACCGUCAUAUGUCGAACAGGUAAUUAUCGUGACAGGAUAAGUAACAAUUCCAAUAAUGAAAAGGAAAGAUUUAAAAAUUUAGGUUAAGUACUUUAACCAAUUACAAACUACACUUUAUGAGGAAUUAAGCUUUCUGAAAACAGCAAUGGGAUUAAAGAGAAUUUAGGAUUACAGAAAAUGGAUUAUAAGGACAGUUUGUAAGAGGACGUAUUUAUACCUGGGUCUUCUCUUCAGCAUCCUGGGCAUAGAUGGGGGCCACUAAGGCGAUGAUAGCAAGAACAAUCUGGAUAUCAGUGGAAAAUAUUGUGUAGUACUUCUACAAGAUUCUCUGAUUAGGAUGACGUAUAAGUUUUUGGUGUUAGAUAGAAAUUGUGUAAUUUUUAAAGUAUUGCUUUGUCUUCAAGUUUUGAGAUUCUCAAAUUUAAUUCCCAACAAUUGCAAACUUACAAGUUCUUAAGUAUUCUUCAGAUAUUCAAAUCUUCAAGUACCUACAUAUGCAAAUUCUCUAUUCUCAAAUUCAAUUCCUAAAAAUUGCAAAUUUAUAAGUUCUUAAAUAUCUGAAUCUUCAAGUACCCAAAUAUCCAAAUUCUCUGUUCUCAAAUUUAAUUCUCAAAAAUUGCAAAUGUACAACUUCCUAAAUUUCUC